rnacentral:rRNA from 1 species
CCCUUAGAUGUUCUGGGCCGCACGCGCGCUACACUGAUUCAUGCAACAAGUUUUGUCCUUGGCUGAUAGGCCUGGGUAAUCUUUGAACGUGAAUCGUGAUGGGGAUAGAUGAUUGCAAUUAUUCAUCUUCAACGAGGAAUUCCUAGUAAACGCAAGUCAUCAGCUUGCAUUGAUUACGUCCCUGCCCUUUGUACACACCGCCCGUCGCACCUACCGAUUGAGUGAUCCGGUGAAUAAUUCGGACUGCAGCACUGCUUGGUCUCCAGGCUUUGCAGCGGAAAGUUUAGUGAACCUUAUCACUUAGAGGAAGGAGAAGUCGUAACA